CAUUUUGCUAGUCAGUAGGACUCUUUACCAUUACUUUUCUUAUAUUCCUCAUUAUUAGGAUUAUUGUUACUCAUUUUUCUGACUGUUAGGAUUUUAUUACUAUUAUGAUUUCUCAAUUCAAACCAAGAUUCUUGAGCUUUUCUUUCUCUCUCCAAAAUCUGAAUCCCACUGUUGCACAGAGGUUAAGUCUAGUACCAUGUACUUUUUUUAAAUUAUUCAUUUGUGUUUGGAAUUCCUUUCAUUUGUUUUCAACCAUUAAGUUAUGUGAAAUUUGCAUUCAGUUAUGUAUUUAUGAUUGCAGAGGAGCCCAAACUACCCAGACUUCAAGCACAAAGAUACCGGCGAAGCAUUGUGGGUUGAAAGCAGGUAUAAUCCACCUUGGGUGAAAUCACAGCUUGCUAUACUGGAUUCAAGGAUGGAAUCGAUUCAUGAUCAAAGUUCUAGCAUGCAUGUGAACUUCAUGUCUACUGAUAGUCUUGGGCCUUAUUAGCUGCUUAUCGUGCCCCAAGCCCCCACGUACUUAUUACUUUUUGUUCAUAAUUUCCCCUGAAAUUGUACUUCGGUAUAGUUUUGAAUUUUUGGGAUAUAUUUUGACUGCUUGAAUCUGUAUGCUUUUAUUGUUGAACCAUCUUAUCUAAUAGUUUAAAUAGUUAGAGUGAAGAUAUACUUAUUUAAAUUACAUCUUUUAUUGUGUUAUCUCGUUUC
rnacentral:lncRNA from 1 species